GGCCUACCAUGGUGGUAACGGGUAACGGGGUGUUAGGGCACGACACCGGAGAGGGAGCCUGAGAAACGGCUACCACAUCCAAGGAUGGCAGCAGGCGCGCAAAUUACCCAAUCCCGACACGGGGAGGUAGUGACAAUAAAUAACAAUACGGGGUUCUUUCGGAUCUCGUAAUUGGAAUGAGUACAAUUUAAAUCUCUUAACGAGGAACAAUUGGAGGGCAAGUCUGGUGCCAGCAGCCGCGGUAAUUCCAGCUCCAAUAGCGUAUAUUAAAGUUGCUGCAGUUAAAAAGCUCGUAGUUGAAUUUCGGGGUUAGUAGGUUGGUCAUGCCUCUGGUAUGUACUGGUCUCACUGAUUCCUCCUUCCUGAUGAACCGUAAUGCCAUUAAUUUGGUGUUGCGGGGAAUUUGGACUGUUACUUUGAAAAAAUUAGAGUGUUUAAAGCAAGCUAACGCUUGAAUACAUUAGCAUGGAAUAAUGAAAUAGGACGUUCGAUCCUAUUUUGUUGGUUUCUAGGAUUGACGUAAUGAUUAAUAGGGAUAGUUGGGGGCAUUAGUAUUCAAUUGUCAGAGGUGAAAUUCUUGGAUUUAUUGAAGACUAACUACUGCGAAAGCAUUUGCCAAGGAUGUUUUCAUUAAUCAAGAACGAAAGUUAGGGGAUCGAAGACGAUCAGAUACCGUCGUAGUCUUAACCAUAAACUAUGCCGACUAGGGAUCGGAUGAUGUUAAUUUUUUAAUGACUCAUUCGCGCCUUACG
rnacentral:rRNA from 1 species